UACGGAGGAUGCAAGCGUUAUCCGGAAUGAUUGGGCGUAAAGCGUCCGCAGGUGGCUGUGUAAGUCUGCUGUUAAAGAGUGAGGCUCAACCUCAUAAAAGCAGUGGAAACUACACGGCUAGAGUGCGUUCGGGGCAGAGGGAAUUCCUGGUGUAGCGGUGAAAUGCGUAGAUAUCAGGAAGAACACCGGUGGCGAAAGCGCUCUGCUAGGCCGCAACUGACACUGAAAAGCGAAAGCCAGGGGAGCAAACGGG
rnacentral:rRNA from 1 species